AGCUCCAAUAGCGUAUAUUAAAGUUGUUGCGGUUAAAAAGCUCGUAGUUGGAUUUCUGCUGAAGCAAACCGGUCCGCCCUCUGGGUGAGCAUCUGGUUUUGUUUUGGCAUAUGCUUAGACUUUGCAGCUGCACUUGACUGUGUGGUGUGAAGGCUGAGCCUUUUACUUUGAGGAAAUCAGAGUGUUUCAAGCAGGCCAUUGCCUUGAAUACACUAGCAUGGAAUAAUAUGAUAUGACUGUGGUUUUAUUUUGUUGGCUUUUAGAAUUAGAGUAAUGGUUAAUAGGGAUAGUUGGGGGCAUUCAUAUUUAACUGUCAGAGGUGAAAUUCUUGGAUUUGUUAAGGAUGAACGACUGCGAAAGCAUUUGCCAAGGAUGCUUUCA
rnacentral:rRNA from 1 species